rnacentral:lncRNA from 1 species
AAUUAUCACCUAUCUUCAUACUUACUAAUUUUGAUGCAAUGAAUUUGUUUUUGAAAGAAAAAAAUGGUUCUAGAGGUUUAGGUUUUGGUUUCACAUAUGGUGAAGAGAGCUCCCAUUGAGAGUUUUUUUUUUUUUUUUUUUUUGGUUUUUUUCCUUUUAUUAGAAUUGUUCUCACAAGAAUGCUAUGAUCACAGAUUUAUAGGCUGAGAAGAGGGUGGAAAGGGCCAUUGAAACCCUUAUUUUUUGUAGAGUUCUCAAGUCCGGAAGCUAAAGGCAAUGGAGUGUUCCACAAAAGCAUUUAGGUAGAGAUAGUGAAUAAGGAGGAUAGGUUAAUGUAGAGUUGUACUAAAAAUGGUUGUUUUUUCUAUUAAAUCAUUUUAUAUCUUUAUCUCCGAGUGGCUCAAGGUCCUUUUCUCCGAAGAAAAUGUAGAGCUUAUAGCAUUGCUAAUGACUAGUUCUUUACUUAACUAGAAUAUUUUGAUGCCUAACCAGCUUAUGAGGAGAGGUUGGCUCCUAAUCAAUGAAUAGAUGUUAUUUGUGCAAGUGCAAGUGCACGGAGUCAACCAACUAUAUUCAUUGAAGGUUUUCGAUAUAUUAUUGUUCAAAAUUGUAUGGGUGCUUUCAAGAAUGAUUUAAGGAUUUUUUACUUAGUCAGCAUAGUCACUCUGGGGAUAGGUGAUGCUGAAAAGAAUGGGAGAUGACCCCUUGUUUUUGUUUUGGAGCAUGUAGAAAGAAAAAUGAAAGGAUGUUUGAUGAUAAUAAGAGCUUUGCUCAAACUUUGAAAAAGUCUCCCAAAAAAUCUUUGUUUGUACUAUAAUGGAUUCUUUGGUGAUGGAGAAUCUCACUUUUCUAGAGUUCAUUGAUUGAUUGGGGAAAGUAUAGGCUUACAACUUAGGCAUGCUAGGUUAAGGUCCUUUUAUCGGGUGCCAAACAAUAAAAAGGGAAGAAAAUCUUUGCAUCCAAGUAUCUAAUCUUAUAGAUGUUCUAGAAUUCAUUGAUUGUUUGGGGAAUGCACAAGCUAUAGCUUGGUGAUAAGCUAUCGUCAGGGCCUCAGGCCUGUCCCAAGCUAUAGCCUAUGCUUUCCCGAACCAAUCAAUGAACUCUAAAAUAUAUAUGUAAGGUUAGAUACUUGGAUGCAAAGAUUCUCUUCCCUCCAUUUCUCUAUGUAGUCAUUACACUAUAAAAUUACUUAUUUAACCUUAUGGUGGACCUCCUUGCAAAACAAUAAAAUUAAAAUAUAUUUAAAAUAUUAUCAAUGAGAAAUUUUUAUUUUUCACACGAUUUUCAAUGACAUUCUUUAUUCAACCUCCAUGUAAAUGAAGAUCUCAAUUAUUGCAUAAUAAUUUCAAAAUUUUUGUUUGUUGAUUUUAUAAUUUUAUAUUAAGAAUAAAAUUAAUAGUACACACGUUUAUGCACAAUACCAUGAUACUAAAACUUGGAAAGUUAACUUAACUUGACCAAGUGGACUCAAUUGAACUGUGAAUAUGGUUAGAGUGUUUUCCUUCAAUUGUCCUAGACCAAACACGCUUGUUCUACCUACAAGGACAACCCUCCUCCCCCUAUGUUUCUAAAAGUUUCACAAACUUGUUAUAGUUGAUAACUUACUAAAUGGAUUUGUCAAAUGUUUUCAACCUAGACCUAAAUAGAACAAUGCCAUGAAAUUCUCACAAGCAAGACCAUUUCCAUGAGUUUUUUUUUUCUUUUUGGGAAAUGAAAAUGAGCAAUUUAGAGACUAAUAUGAUUAAAAUUAGAAAGAAAAAUAAACAAAAAGUGCAUCACCUUUUUCUUUAUAGUUAAUUUAAUUUUAAAACCUAAGAGCUUAAGAAAUUGAGCAUCAGGUGUAUAUCAAGCUAAAAUUGGCCAAAAUUAAAAUUUUGAGGAUAUAAAAUUCACUUAAGAUUGAAAAGAGAACUUCAAAUAUCAAAUCUAGUCAAUAAAUGUUUAACAAUUUCAUUUCUAAUAGGAAUUUAUAUUUGGCCUCAUGAAAAACAUUAUUCAACUAAUUCAAUGUCCAAAUUUUCAAGUAGGUAUUCACACUAUUAAAGUCAAAACAAUUACUUGUACAUUUCAAAACAUAUACCCUGUUACCCACAACAACCCCCCAUUCCAAAAGGAAAAGGGUUUCUUUUUAGGGGCCCACUCUCAUUCAAAGGGACUUAAAAUCAAAAUCACCUAUUCACUAAGAUGCAUAUAAAUGUAAGGGCAUGGACUUUCCAAUACCUAAUAUAGAAUGGGUCAUCCACCAAUAAAUAUAAGAUUCAAUGGCUAAUUAAAAACUUUAAGAUAUUGCUUUUCCUGCUCAAAAUCUUUGAGGUUUGGAUGGAAAUAACUCCAUUUUCUCAAGUAGUUCAAUAGUUUCAACGUGCGAAGCAUGAUGAGGAAAACCACCAAGUUGGUGAAUGUGACUCUAAGGCCUUGAGGUUCAUGAGAAUAAGUAAUGUGAAUAGAUUAUCCAUGCUUAGAAUAGAGAAAUCUAGGAAUCAAUUAUUCUCAUUUUGGUACUUGGAAACAAUAUAAAUCAAAGUUAUAAGACAGUUUACCCUAAGGUGCAGCUUAGCAAUAGUACCCUCUCACAAUGAACUAGAGGUGGCAAUGAACCAAAGGUCCAAAGUUUGAGUCUUCCCCAUAUUUAAGUAGUGUAGAAUAGAGGGGCAAGCCCAUAUUGUCCCAAGUAUGCUUUGCAAGCAAGUAGAAUGUCCUGAUUUCCAUUCCUACACAAACUAAAUACUAAAAUGGGAAUGAAAAAUAUUCAAAUUAAACCCACACAAAAUUUCAAAUAAUAUUCUUCAAAUUAAUACACAUACAUAUGUAUGGUAUACAACAAACUUUCAAAAAAUCAUAGAAAGAAAAAUAUCAUAUUAUAAUAAAAUCAUAACAUUUACAAAGUCUAUUUAUUAAAAAAUCUUUAAUUUUAAAAAAUCAACCACCAUUGUAAUAACUAAUACUCAAAAUAUGUAUAAAAUUAUAAAAUAAGAACAUUAUAAUAUCCAUAAUAAAUCAAAGAAAAUCAACUCUUAUUUUGAGUUUGAAAUGCCUAUAUUUUGGAAAAGGAAAAAGUGAAAAAACAAAGAAUAAAAAUAGAGUUUCUGCCUACAUAUAUACACAUGCACAUAUAUUUUAGAAAACUUGUAGAAUAGACUAUCCAACAAAGGUUAAAAACCUAGGAUUUUAGAGAUUAUUAUUCAUUUCACAAACAUUUAAACCUGUUUUAUCAAAAUAGUAACAACAACAACAAUGAUAAUAUUGUUAUUUUAUAGACAAACAAAAAUAUAUUACUAGUGCCUAACAAAAAAUGACAUACUAAGAUGCACGAUAGUAUAUAAAGGUUGUCAAAUGACAUAGAAAAAGACGAGAUAAAAAAUCACUCCCUUAUCAAGCAAUACAAAACCACUCAAUUAAAUUAAUAUAUACAUCAAAUCCUCAUCUAUAAACAUCCUAGCCUAGAGUAAAAAAAAAACACAAAAAUGAAUUUUUGGUAGCUUGAUUCAAUAUUUUCAAAUUUCAAACAAUAUGUAAUUUCUUUUCUUUCAAAUGGUCCAAAAUAAGUACUAUAUAUCAGUCUUCCACUUUUUUUUCCGUUUUUUCACCACAAAUAGGCCCUUGCUAACUUAGAAGGACUUUUGUAUCCAUAACAGGCAACAUCCACUCCAUGUAAAACAAAGAAAAAAUCAAAUAGCACCUCUGAUACUUGACCCUUCAAUAUCACCGAUCAUACCCGUGUCAACACAACAUGAAAUGAGUGAGUAUGGGAUUUUUGUCAAAUACUCCUAUUUUAUUUUGGGUAUGGCUAUUUGAUUUUUUCAAACAAAUUUUUUGGUAUUUUGAUUAAACAUUUCCAAAUUAUCAAACAAUAAGUAUUUUUUUCCUUUCAAAUGGUCCAAAAUAAGCAUAAUAUAUCAGCUUCCACACAUUUUUCUCUUUCUUCGUGACAAAAAGGCCCUUGCUAACUUAGAAGGGCCUCUGUAACCAUAUAAGGCAACAUCUACUCCAUAUAAAACAAAGAAAAAAAAUAAAUGGCACCUAUGAUACUCGGAUCCUUCAAUUUCACCAACGUACCUGUGUUAAUACAACAUGACAUGAAUGUAGGCAUGGGAUCAUUGUUGAAUACUCAUUUAUUUUGUCAUUGAUAUAUUUUUAUUCUUUCAACUUUCUUAGUAAUAGUUACAUUAGAGAAAAAGUAAAGUUAGCUAAAAAGUGAUUUUUUUAAAGAAUAUAUACAAAUAAGAGGGAAAAAAUUAGAGAAAAAUAUGAGAGUUUUUAAAAAGAAUAUCUUUACUUCCAAUUUAUUUUUAAUUGAUUUUUCUCUUAUCAUGUCGUGUCCUAGUACCCGUCACCGUUUUUUUAUCUUUUUUAGUCAAGUCCUUAUAUCCUAAAAUUUGAGUUGUGAAGGAUUCAACGCUUAAGACAUAUUACCGCAUUUGACACUCAUACCCAAACACAUGCAACAUAGAAACGACAAACUGUCCAUCUUUUAGCACAAUGAAAGAAGAUAUGAUCAGCUAAUUGUUUUCUCACUCACUCUUCCAAAGAUAACAUUUAUGACGAUGAUGAUAACGUUUAUUCUAAAAAAAUAUCAAAUUGAGAUUCCUUUAAGAUAUUGGAGAAAAGGUUGAAAGUCUACUAAAAUUCAUCAAAUUCUUUCAAUAAUAGAUGGUUGUUUACAAAUUUUUUUAUUAUUUCACAUUCUUAUAUUUCAUAAUAUCAAAUUUUUAAUAUAAUUGUAUUUAUAAAUAGAUGUGAUGAUGAUUGAAUUUACUUAGGAAAGAUAAAGUUGCAUUUCAUAUUAUUCAUUGAUUUUAUCUUCUUCAAAGAUGGCAUUGGAAUUAAUUUACCUUAUAAAGAGAUGAAGUUGUAAUUAAUUUUGUAUGUUCUUCUAAUUUGAGAAAAUACGCUCAUCAUUUUAAAUUUAUAUAAAAGUAUUACCUAGCAAGGGUUUUCACAAAACCCAUGUCCUAGAUGGGUUUCUAACCCAGCUAUUUUAUGGGACUCUAAACCCAUUAGAUCUCCAAAACAAAUGAAUGACCAAGCCUUGGAGUAGGCAGAAUGUGAUGGAAUACCAUCCCCAAGACUCCAUCCUUGAAUCAAACAUCACCUUGAGUCCUUCCAUCCAAAAUUACCUCUUAAUCUAGACAAUCGCGCAGAAUAGGAUCUUAAGCAUUGAAAAGCUUAAUAUAAGACAGUUAGGGAAUCCAGACUGGAAACUACUAGCUUCAGCUCUGAUUAUUCACCAGAUGACUUCCUUCUCCAUUGCCAAUUUGAGCAUGAAAACUCAACCCCUUGUUUGUGCAUACUUUGUGGUUUCUUAAUUGUUUCCAGAUUCUCACUCCGACCUUCGUUCAGAUUGGCACAUUAAGGCUUUUGGUCCUAACAAUAAGAUGCUAAGAAAGCUAACUCCUUUCCAUGAAAGGGAAUUUGCAUAAAAAAAGAAAAAAGAAAAAAAAAAGAUCUAAAUUGUUCACUGUCAAGAAAAAAGGCUAGGCUGUUAUUUCUGGAGUGGGUUGGUAAUUUUCAGGGGUGAUAAAAGUAGGUUAGGCAUUAUAUUUAAAUAUUCAAUUGUCUCAGGUUGUUUGUGAGCUCAUUUCAGGCUUGCAGUUUGUUUUGGGUCCCAUCUACCUUUGUUAACUUGUUUAAAUUUCAGGGUUUCCUCGUCUCCCCUCACCCUUAUUUAAUCUAAUUAAUAAAAUUGCUACUUAGGAAAAAUCAGUUUCUAUUUCUUAGUUAUACAGAACCACCAUUUAGUGAGAAGCUAUUUUCUAAUUCUCAAAAACUAAAAUUUCCUACUAAAGAUAUGCCACAAAAUGAACCUAAGCCACUCUCAAAACAUUUGUGCAUGAACAGUACCCCAAUUUAAGAAUUCAAUAUAAUGGGUGCACAGCACCAAUCUGAAUGGCAAGCUUAUGGUGCAUUUUGUAAUUCCUCCAUCCUUAACUGCUCUUUGUGGCUGAAUGCAUUUCUGGAAAACAGGCCUUCCACAGCUCACACAUAUCAACAUCACAACUGUGGACCAAUCAAUGAACCUCCAGAGCACUUGAUUUUGGAAUAUCGCAGCCCCCAAACAAAAAAUGAAAUGGAAAGGAAAACUACAAAAAAGGACAACUAUCACAAGUACAGCAGUUUGUUGCUGGACCACUCAGUGAAUGUUAAAAUACAACUCACAGUAAAUUGUACAGGCUAACAGAUUGAUACACUUGGAGAGGGGGAGAGAGAGAGAGAACUUGCUUUCCAACAAGGGAAGUAGGUUUCAGGCCUUUCUAGUUUUGAACAAUGCACACAUUUUUCCUCAAUUGAAAGAAUAUAAUAUCAUAUCAGAUUAUAUAGUGUGUUAAACAAGACUAAGUACAAUACUGUCCUAUUAACAAAAAGUACAGCAUACCUGUGCUAUAGAUGUAAAGCACUCUAGCAGUGGAAAGAGGUCUUUGUCUGAAUUGGAAACUAGCUGCCACUUUGCAAUUAAUGGAGGCAUCAGAAUAUCAAGGUAUCUGGACUGUGUAUAGAAUCAAAAGAUGGGCGUUAGUAGCUUGUGUCCUGAUCGUGAAGAACAAAAACACCAAGCAUUCUGUCCCCCUCUGAUUUCCACAUCAAGGAGCACCAAAGGAAAGAAAAACAAACACCAACUCAUGCCCAAAAAUAAGAAGGCUUACCUGAUUCAGUUCUCCUCCAACAGCAUCUGCUAAAGUGCCUAUAGCAUCAUAUAAAAUUCGGAGGUUCCUUUUCUAAAUAUGAGCAUACAAAGUUCAAUUAGGGAAUAUAAAAUACUAAAUGAUCAUAACAUGGUAUCAUCAGGAAAACAAAUGAUUCAAAAUAUACUAGUCAAUUGGACCUUUCCAAGUCUAUUGGAAAUCAAGAAAAUACUAAUAGGACUGAAAAAAAAACCUGAUAUCUCCCAAAAGCACAUAAAAGGUGUUGUAAAAUGAUUGCUACAUGUGGUGUCAACUCUUCUGCAGCCUCCUGCCAUCAUUAAGGAACCUAUGAAUUCUACAUUGGUAUGAAUCAUAUUUCUUAUGAUUGAAGAGUACUGAAACAGGAGAAACCUCUUCAAGAGUAGCAAAAGCUGAACAUGCAGCUUCUUGUACCCUCUUGUUAGUGUCUAAGACUCUUUGUAGAAGACCCACGAGGACCCGGUUGAACUGAUCAUAGCCUUUUUGAUGACCAACACCCUGAAAAGGCAUGAAACAAAUUCCAAGAUCUUUGAUGAACAAUUUAUGGAACAGUGGUUAGAUGGGAAAAUGAGUUCUAAACAACUCCAUGAAAAGAAAUGAACUGCAAUAUAUGAUUAAACUUCAACUACAGCUUCUCUUUUUCUUUUAUGUGAGAAAGGCCAAGAUACAAAUUGAAAUAGCAUAUACUGGAAGCAAGAUGUAGACGAAAGUAGUUGAGUGCUAGUUCAGGCUCCAGAUAAUAAUAUAUCUCACUGGAUGUAUCUCACUUCAUCCAGUUCAUGUCUUUAACUUGAAAAUAGCUAAUAACACAGAGAGGAUAUUUUAGAAAAAAAAAAGUGAAAAGAAAAGAAGCAGAGGGAGAAGACAACAGAAAACCACCCAUGUUUGAGAUCAAUUAGGAACAAAUGGAAUUCUUUCUAAGAUAUAGAAGUUAUAACUCCUUAGAACCAUGUACCAAUGUUAAUUCCUACUUAAGUAAAUCCAUGUUCUUCUAUAGAUGUAUUCAUAAACGCGUGAAUUCUACCUCAAGAUCAAAAGUACCAACCCUAAAACAACAAUAUAAAAUAGAACAACUUGUUCAGGAAAGGUUUUAAUGUUGAAGACUAUUACAGCUGUAUAUCCUCCACGGCUGUAUAUUACAUCUGUAAUACAUAAUUUUGUGUGUAUAAUAGUGUAUGUAUAUAUAUAUUAUCAAAAACAAAUGUAUGUAUUAAUUGAGAAUAAACAAAACAUGAGAAGGAUGAGAAAUCCUUCCUAUGAUUUACAAACCUCAUCAAAAAGAUCUAAGUAAACCUCCACUAUACAAGGAGGGCUAUAUAAAGGUACAAAAAGCCUACACAGGUAUAACAACUCCUCACCCUAUAGACCCAACCCUAGUGUGUACAUAUUAAAAGUCAACUAAGUUGAAUUACAUUUAACAGAUAAAGAUUAAAAAUGUUUGUACGGUAAGCCCAAAAAGAAACAUAGAAAUGAAGCAAAUCCCACAUCAUCUUUGGUGUCUUCCAAGUGUCCUUGAAAAUCCUAGCAUUCCUCUCUCUCCACACAAUCUACAACAAAGUUGUGGAUCUGAGAUCCUGCUUGUUUGACUCUUUUUUAGCACUAGAGCAAUGAAGGUAGCAUUCAUGCUUUGCUUAAUAAUCCCAUUAUUGUGAAACUCAAAGAACACUCUUAAAAGAUCAGCUUUAAUCGUCUCCCAACACUCUUGAUAAAAUCCAAUGGUGAAACCAUUUAGCCCAAGGGUCUUUUCCUUGUUUAAAUGCAACAUAGCAUUGUGAAUCUCUUCUUCCGAAAAAAAAUGAUCCAACCACUCGACACUAUCUGCUGAAAUAGGAGACCAAUCCAAAUCUUCAAUCCUCCAAGAACCACCUGAAGGCUUGGAGAAUAACUUCCCAAAAUAAUGCUUAAUCUCCUUUAAAAUGCUUUCAAUGUUAUCUAAGACUACCCCAUCUUUAGACACCAAAGACUUAAUGAACUUCCUAUUCCACCUACUAUUGGCCACCUUAUGAAAAAAUUUAGAAUUACAAUCCUCUUCUCUUAUCCAUUUGACCCUAGUUUUUUUACCUCUAAAACACCUCUUCCUUUAGCAACGCCUCUUCCAAUUCUCCCUUCCUUAAAGUCUUCCUUGCUGCUAGUUCAAGAGUAAAAAUCCUUUUUUGUUCCUUCUCAUCCAAACCCACAAUGCCCAAACAAAUAUUUUUCUUUUAAGUCUCCAAAAGACACUUUUUUUUUUUUUUUUUUUGAUAAAUGAGCACAAAAUAUAUUAAAGGGCGAAAAGCCACAUAGCAUACAGGUAGUAUACAUAGCAACCUAAAAACAAAAAACACAUGAACAAUCAACCUCACCAGCCCUUAAGGAGCCGCUAGCCACUCCAAAAAGCCUAAAAGCGAAGAUGACUCAUCUCCCAUAUACACCCUAGCCCAACUCCACAAAUUACGUACAAAAGAAUUUUUGAGUUUUUGUCUAGCUAAAGAGCCCCCCCUAAAAAGCUAAUCUAUUUCUUUCCUUCCAUACCAUCCAAAAAAUACACAACGGGAUGGAGUUCCAAAUCUUUUUCCUCUUUUUUCCCACAAAAGGGCCCCUCCAACUAAAUAACACUUCUUUGACUGUCUCUGGGAACACCCACUGAGCCCCAAACAAGGCAAGGAUUUUCCUCUUCACAGCCACACAAAAGCAACGAUCAGGGAGGUGCCACCCCCGUUUUUGGAGCCUAUCCAAAGUGAGGAUCUUCUCCCACGUGGCCUCCCAAGCAAAAAAAGCAACUUUAGUUGGAACCUUAUCCACCCAAAUGCUCUUGUUGAAUAUAAUGUAUUUAUAGUAUAUUAUCUUUCCUUGUUAAUAUAGGUCACAUGUAUGGUAGUUAGGACUUCUAGCCUUGUAUAUAUAUAUCUCUCAAUUGUAAGUAAAAAACAUAUGAAUGAGAAUUAAGAUUUUUCUCAUUUUUCUCUCUUUUAACAUGGUAUUAGAGCCAAAGGAGAAAACCUAAUUUUUUUUUUUCGGUUUAGCCGUGUAAUCAAUUCCGGCGAACCGUCCAGUGACCGUGUUUCACUCCGGUCCCCUCAUUUUCUUCCCGAACCACUCCGGACAACCUCAUCGCCGUCGGAUCUCCACCACGCCGGCAACCUUUUCCGGCGAACUUUCCGGCGACGUCUUUUUCCGACACCGACCACACCAAGAGGAGUGCCUGGAGGAGAUCUCCAACUUCUUCAAAAGCAUCAGAGCCAGAAAACCCUCCACGCGCACUUCUCCGGGCAGCGACUGAAUCUCACACGCCGGCGCGUGAGGGCGCGUGAGACAUUUUCCGGCGACGCGCCUCCUUUUCCAGCCUCGCCUGACGCCGACCAGCAUCCCUACCUACCUGGUUCUCCCAUCCGAGCCCUGCACGUACCUCUUUUGGGGAUUUUUGUCUCCGUCAGCCUUCCAAACAGCCUUUCCGGCGAAGUUCCGGCUACUUUUUCUCCACCCCAAUCCCUGCACGUGCCUUGGGAAGUGUUCUUCUACCCUUCUGGUGGUACCACGUCGUGAUUUGAGGCCGUCUCCCUUUUUCGGUGGUGCCACGCCGCAAUCUGCAGCCGUAUUAGGGCUCUCUUCGAUCCAAAUACGUGAAUAUGACCACCAAAAAUCAGAUCUUUACCUCUGUUAUCUCUGGAUCUCCUAUGAUUACCUCAGAGAAAUUGGUUGGUAGUGAGAAUUAUCGCUCUUGGUCUGCCUCUGUUGAACUUUGGUUUAUGGGUCAAGGAUAUGAGGAUCACUUGGUUACCUAGGAGGCAGAUAUCCCUGAGGUUGACCGCGUACAGUGGAGGAAGAUAGAUGCACAGUUAUGUAGUGUAUUAUGGCAAUCGGUUGAUCCCAGGAUUCUUCUUCAUCUUCAGGCCUAUAAAACUUGUUUUAAAUUUUGGACUCAGGCCAAAGGAUUAUACACGAAUGAUAUCCAGCGUCUUUAUAAGGUGGCUUCUGCUAUUGUCCAUCUCAGCCAACAGGACUUGGAUCUAUCUACUUAUAUUGGUCAGAUUGCCUCUCUUAAGGAGGAGUUCUUGACUGUGAUGCCUCUUACUCCUGAUGUUGGGGCUCAACAAAUACAGCUUGACAAGUUCUUCAUGGUCCUUACUCUUAUUGGCCUCCGUCCGGAUCUUGAGUCUAUUCGUAAUCAGAUUCUUGGAAGUUCAUCAGUUCCGUCCUUGGAUGAUGUGUUUGCUCGCCUCCUCCGUAUCUCGUCCACUCAGACUUUGCCAUCUGAUAGCGCUUCAGAUUCUUCUGUGUUAGUUUCUCAAACUACCUCUCGAGGAGGACGCAGUGGUACCCGAGAUAGAGGCCAACGUCCUCAUUGCACCUAUUGCAAUAAACUUGGCCACACUCGCGAUCGUUGCUAUCAGUUACAUGGAAGACCUCCUCGCACUGCCCAUAUGGCCCAGUCCUCUGAUUCUCCGCUGCCUCAGCCUCCGAGCUCCUCCGCAUCUCAGACAUCUCAGGCUUCUAUUGCCUCUGUUGCCCAGCCUGGUAAUGCCUCUGCCUGUCUUACCCACACAUCUUCUCUUGAACCCUGGAUUCUAGAUUCUGGAGCAUCUGAUCACCUAUCUGGUAAUAAGGAUCUUUUCUCCUCUAUUACUACUACCUCUGAUUUACCUACUGUUACCUUAGCUAAUGGUUCUCAAACUGUGGCUAAAGGUAUUGGUUUGGCCCUUCCUUUGCCUUCUCUACCUCUCACUUGUGUCCUUUAUACUCCUGAAUGUCCUUUUAAUCUUAUUUCCAUCAGCAAAAUCACUCGUAAUCUUAAUUGCUCUAUUACCUUUUCUGAUAAAUUUGUGACCUUGCAGGACCGGAGUACGGGGAAGACGAUUGGCAUAGGACGUGAGUCUCAAGGCCUCUAUCACCUCACCUCAAAUUCAUCUCCUGCAGUUUGCAUUUCCACUAAUGCUCCUCUCCUCAUUCACAAUCAUCUGGGCCACCCUAGUCUCUCCAAGUUCCAGAAGAUGGUUCCUCGUUUUUCCACUUUGUCGUCGCUUCCGAGUGAGUCAUGUCAGCUUGGGAAACAUACUCGUGUCUCGUUCCCAAAGCGUUUGAAUAAUCGGGCAAAGUCUCCUUUUGAGCUUGUCCACACUGAUGUUUGGGGUCCUUGUCGGACUGCGUCUACUUUAGGAUUUCAGUAUUUUGUCACUUUCAUUGAUGACUAUUUUCGAUGUACUUGGUUAUUUUUAAUGAAAAAUCGAGCUGAGUUAUUCUCUAUUUUCCAGAAAUUUUAUACUGAAAUCCAAACCCAGUUCAAUAUUUCUAUUCGUAUGUUACGCAGUAACAAUGCCAGGGAAUAUUUUUCAACCCAAUUUACUUCGUUUAUGUCUCAUCAUGGAAUUCUUCAUCAGUCUUCUUGUGCUCAUACUCCUCAACAAAAUGGGGUAGCUGAACGCAAGAAUCGACAUCUUGUUGAGACAACUCGUACUCUCCUCCUCCAUAGUCACGUUCCUUUUCGUUUUUGGGGGGACGCUGUUCUUACCGCUUGUUAUUUGAUUAAUCGUAUGCCCUCCUCUGUCUUACACGAUCAGAUUCCUCACUCCCUUCUCUUCCCUGACCAACCACUUUAUUUCCUUCCUCCUCGUGUCUUUGGUUGUACUUGCUUCGUUCAUAUUCUCACUCCUGGACAGGACAAGCUUUCCGCCAAAGCCAUGAAGUGCCUCUUCUUGGGAUAUUCCAGACUUCAGAAGGGUUAUCGUUGUUAUUCCCUUGAGACUCAUAGAUACUUUAUCUCCGCUGAUGUCACCUUCUUUGAGGACUCACCAUUCUUUUCCACCACUUCUGAGUCUCUUCCUGUUUCUGAAGUUUUGCCCAUUCCCAUUGUCUCCCCACCUGAUGCUAUGCCCCCUCGACCACUUCAGGUUUAUCAUCGUCGCCCUCGUGUCGUUGCUCCUCUCCCUUUUCCUGAGGCACCUGCUGACUCACUUCCUAUCCCUUCGGCUUCACCUGCCCCGGCUCUGCCUUCUCCUAAUGACUUACCCAUUGCUGUUCGGAAAAGUACUCGCUCUACUCGUAAUCCUCAUCCUAUUUACAAUUUUUUGAGUUAUCAUCGCUUAUCUUCACCCUAUUGUGCUUUUGUUUCUGCUAUAUCCUCUGUUUCUCUUCCAAAGAGCACCCAUGAAGCUCUUUCCCAUCCAGGCUGGCGACAGGCAAUGGUGGAUGAAAUGGCUGCUCUGCACUCUAAUGGCACUUGGGAUCUUGUUGUUUUACCCUCUGGUAAAUCUACAGUUGGUUGUCGUUGGGUCUAUGUCGUUAAGGUUGGUCCUGAUGGUCAGGUUGAUCGCCUUAAGGCCCGCUUAGUUGCUAAAGGCUAUACUCAAGUUUAUGGUUCUGAUUAUGGUGACAUAUUCUCCCCUGUUGCCAAGAUUGCUUCUGUCCGCUUGCUUCUCUCCAUGGCUGCUAUGUGUUCUUGGCCUCUUUAUCAGUUGGAUAUUAAAAAUGUCUUCCUUCAUGGUGAUCUUGCCGAGGAAGUUUAUAUAGAGCAACCUCCUGGUUUUGUUGCUCAGGGGGAGUCUGGUUUAGUGUGCAGGUUACGCCGUUCUGACGACAUCGUCAUUACAAGCAGUGAUCAGGAUGGUAUUCAGAAACUAAAGCAACAUCUUUUUACCCACUUUCAGAUCAAAGACUUGGGGAAACUCAAGUAUUUCUUGGGAAUUGAGAUAGCUCAAUCCAGUUCUGGUGUGGUCAUUUCCCAAAGGAAGUAUGCUUUAGACAUCCUGGAAGAAACCGGUAUGUUAGACUGUAAACCGGUAGACACACCUAUGGAUCCGAAUGUCAAACUUGUACCAGGACAGGGGGAGCCUUUAGGAGACCCCGGGAGAUAUCGACAGCUCGUAGGUAAAUUGAACUAUCUCACCAUUACUCGUCCAGACAUUUCUUUCCCUGUGAGUGUUGUUAGUCAAUUCCUACAGUCACCAUGUGAUAGCCAUUGGGAUGUCGUAAUCCGCAUUCUUCGAUAUAUCAAAAGUACACCAGGCCAAGGUGUAUUGUACGAGAACAGAGGUCAUACUCAAGUUGUUGGUUACACAGAUGCAGAUUGGGAUAGCUCACCCACAGAUAGACGUUCCACUUCAGGGUACUGUGUUUUUAUUGGAGGUAAUCUAAUAUCUUGGAAGAGUAAGAAACAAGAUGUAGUGGCCAGAUCUAGCGCUGAAGCCGAGUAUCGAGCUAUGGCUUUGGCAACAUGUGAACUCAUAUGGUUGAGACAUUUUCUUCAGGAGUUGAGAUUUGGAAAGGAUGAACAGAUGAAACUCAUCUGUGAUAACCAGGCUGCAUUACAUAUUGCAUCCAAUCCAGUCUUUCAUGAAAGGACCAAGCAUAUUGAAGUUGACUGUCAUUUCAUUAGAGAGAAGAUCGCAUCAGGAUGUGUUGCUACAAGUUUUGUUAAUUCAAAUGAUCAACUAGUAGACAUCUUCACUAAAUCUCUCAGAGGUCCUAGGAUUAAAUAUAUUUGUAACAAGCUUGGUGCAUAUGACAUAUAUGCUCCAGCUUGAGGGGGAGUGUUGAAUAUAAUGUAUUUAUAGUAUAUUAUCUUUCCUUGUUAAUAUAGGUCACAUGUAUGGUAGUUAGGACUCCUAGCCUUGUAUAUAUAUAUCUCUCAAUUGUAAGUAAAAAACAUAUGAAUGAGAAUUAAGAUUUUUCUCCUUUUUAUCUCUUUUAACAGCUCUUUUUCGAGAAGGCGAUGGCACUAGGAGCAGCCAGCAAAUUAUAAGCAUCCCUAAUCUGAAAAGUACCAUGACCCCCUCAUUUCCAUAACACUGAGUCCUCUUUUGAAGAAAUCCUGAAGUCCCUCAGCAUAUGAAACAACUCUCCUAUCAAAUCUAGUUCCCAGUCAUUAGAAUCUCUGAAAAAUCUAAGAUUCCAACCUCCUUGACCAAGGCUUGAGUCCCACACUUCAUUGACCGUUGUGUUCCUAUAGACCGCCAAGGCAAAUAAUUGGGGAAAAUUUUGGGACAACGCCGCAUUGCCACACCAAUGAUCAGUCCAGAACUUGACCUUAGUCCCUUCACCCACCUUGAACCCUAUGUUAUCCCAACACCAAUUUGCCUCCUUCAGAAUCUCCUUCCAAACCCCUACUCCAAACGUUCCGCGAGCUUCAUUAGUCCGCCAUCCAAAUCCCUCUUGGUCAUACUUCACCCCGAUCACCUUCUUCCAAAGGAUUUCAUUUUCAAAGGCAAAUCUCCAAAUCCAUUUACCCAACAAGGCCUUGUUCAGGAGAUCAAUUUUCCGAAUGCCUAGACACCCUUUCUUCUUUUGAGUGCACACCACAUCCCAAUUGAUUAAGUGGAUUUUCCUUUCCAAGCUUCCUCCUCCCCAAAGAAAGUCUCUUUGUAAUUUUUCAAGCCUUUUUGCUACUAACUUGGGCAUUCGAAAGAGGGACAAUUGGCAGAUAGUUAUGCUGGCCAGUGUACUUUUAACGAGGGUAAUUCUCCCACCCUUAGACAUAUAUUGUCUUUUCCAAAGGGCUAAUCUUCUCCUCAUUCUUUCUUCCACCCCAUCCCACAUAGGCAAGGCCUUGUGGUGGGCUCUAAGGGGCAGCCCCAGAUAGACAGUAGGAAGAGACCCCACUCUACACCCUAACUUCACUGUCAUUUCUUCAAUAUCUUCAACCUCUCCAACUUUAAUUAAUUUGCUUUUAGCUAGAUUUAUUCUUAUACCAGAAGCCGCUUCAAACCAAGCCAAAAUCCAACUUAGAGAGGUUAGAUGCUCUUUCCUUGCUUCGCAAAAAAUGAUUGUGUCAUCAACAAAGAGCAAAUGGGACACAUUCAUCUCCAUUCCCCCUCUUCCUUAAAUUAUGCAACCUGAAAUGAAUCCCCCGUCAACAGCCUUUCUUAUAAGUGCACUUAGCACUUCCAUACCCAAGACAAAAAGGUAAGGAGAAAGGGGAUCUCCUUGACGCAGCCCCUUGAAUUGGAAAAAAAGCUUGUUAGCACCCCGUUGACCAUAACAGAAAAUUUUGCAGUUGAAAUGCACCACCAAAUCCACUCCAUCCAUCGAGAUCCAAAGCCCAUCUUGUGCAAGACCUUCAUGAGGAAAUUCCAAUUAAUGCUAUCAUAGGUUUUUUCAAUAUCCAGUUUGCAAAUCAACCAUUUCUCUUUACGUUUAUGCCAAAAAUCAAUCACCUCAUUAGCUAUGAGCGAGGCAUCCAAAAUCUAUCUGCCCCUCACAAAAGCAUUUUGAUCCACAAAGACCACCUUACCUAAGACCUUCUUCAGCCUAUUGGCCAACACAAAAGACACUUUAUUCCACUCUUUCAAUUUUGACUUGACAAACUGUAACUUCAUGAAUUUGUGACCUUUGUAUCCUUCAAACUGACACUCAAUCCACCAACAACCUAAAUUAUCCUUGGAAUCGAAAUGAAUCAACCACAUGUUUUCAAAUCUAAAAGGUGGUAUCAGCGUCCAACUAAAAGAAUUGGUGUUUAACAACAAUUGGACAAUGAUCUGAAGUCAAUCUGGGGAGUGCUUCUUUGAUACUUUGAGGGAAACCUUACUCCUACUCACUAGAAAAUAAGAAUCUAUCAAACCUUUUACAAAUAGGGUUUUCUUGCAAAUUUGACCAUGUGAAGGACACAUUCCUAAAAGGAGGAUCAAAUAACUCACAUUCUCUUAUAAAUCAUCAAAAUCCCUCAUACUUGGGCUUAACCAGGAGCCUCUUAACUUUUUGAAAUUUUUCUUAUUACAUUAAAAUCCCUAACAACACACCAUUUUAGAAAAGUUAAGCUUGAAAGAUCUUGAAGCUCCAUUCAAAAAUCAUUUCUAAAGUGUGACGAACUAGGACCAUAGAUCGAAGUUAACCAAAAAAACCCAUCAUCUUCUGACACUAAAUUGACUAUUAUUGAGAAAGACCCUGAAACAACCUCUAAGCACUUAAACCUCAAAGCAUCCCAAAAGAUUGUCACUCCUCUCGAAGCCCCACUAGUUGAGAAAACUACCCUUUUUUUUUUUUACCUUCCACACACUACUCACAAACCUCUUAUCACAAGAGUCCCUCUUUGUUCACUGCAAUAGAACAACAACUAGAUUUUCAUAGCAAAGAAAAUCCUUCACAAACCUCUUUUAUUUCUGGAACCACGAUCUCUAGUUUUCCAACCGAUGAUUUUUGUGUAUAUAAUCGCUAAUUGUAGGGAUCUUUAAUAGGGAAGUUUCUAAUUAUUUCCUUUUUUUUUUUUUUUUGUUAUUAUAUAUAACUCUAGGGCUAUAUACUUUUAAAAUGUGAAUGAGAAAUACAACUUUUCUCCACAUAGUAUCAAAGUCGAAUUAGGCUCCUUGAGAUUUCUCUUUUUAGUCUUCAUUAUUGAGUUGUAGUACAUUUUUUCCUUUGUUUUUCAAACCCUAGUUUAACAGCCUUCAUUUCCAUUUUAAAAGUACUCUACUAUAUUUUUCCCUAAAAUUAUUUUCGAAUUCUACACACCUGGUCUAAGAUUGUUGACAACUUCAACAACGUGAAUCCUCCAUUAAUAGCAAAUCUGUUCAAAACAAUGAACAAGGACACUAUUUGGUGUGCCUACCGCAAGAAGCCAAGACACACAAGGGACUAAUGCUGGAAACUCUAUUGAAAGCCUCAAACUUUGAGUAAAAAUUGGGGUUUCAAGGGUGGAUAACAAGGUUUCAAAGGUGGAUAACAAAAAACUCAGACACACUUCACCAACUCUCAUAUCAAUGAAAACUCUCUACAAGAGAGAGUGAAUUUCGGUGGCAAUGAACAUGUUGAGCUUAAUAAGGAAAAUAUUGAGAAAUUGAAGAAUCUCCAAGGUGCUUACUCCCUCGUUCAGUCAGAUAAGUAUUUUCCUUCUCUUACUUUUAGUGUCUUGGAUAUGUGGUUCCUAGGCUCUUGGAUCAUCAACUCGAGACUUACAAAUCAUAUGACUCAUUCCUUACAAAAGUUUAGUAUUUAUAGUCCAUGUCCUAGUAAUAAGAAAAUAGUCACUGUUGAUGGCUCUUUAGCUACCGUGAUUGGUCAAGGGAAAGUUCGCUUAAAUAAAUUCAUAGUUUUGAAAAAUAUGCUACAUGUACCUAAGUUUUCAACCAAUCUUGUUUCCAUUCAUUGACUUACCAAAGAACUAAAUUGUUGUUUGAUUUUUAUCCCUCUCAUUGUGUAUUUUAGGAACAUGAUACAGGAAAGAUGAUUGGACAUGCUAAGGAAAAUGAUAUACUUUACUAUCUUCAGUUGUCAUUUGGUUAAAAUAGGACUGAGAACCAAGUACUUUUACCAUUCCUUUCUGAAGCCCCAUCCACAACAAAAUAUAAGAUUUGGUUUCAUCAUCAUCGUCGCCUUUGACAUCUGUCGAUUAACGUUCUUAAAAUUAUGUUUCCUUUACUAUUCAAAGGAAUUGAUGUAGAAAAAUUACAUUGUGAUGUUUGUGAACUUGCAGAGCACUAUCAUGUUUCUUUUCCAAUAAGUAACAAAAUAGUGCCAAUUCCUUUUGCGUUAGUUCAUAGUGAUAUUUGGGGCCUUACCACAAUUCCUUAUAUUUUAUGCUAUAGAUAAUUUGUCUCAUUUAUAAAUGAUUGCACUCGAGUAACUUAGAUUUUUCUGCUUAAACAAAAAUCAAAUGUAAAUAUUGCAUUUCCCAAUUUUCACAAAAUAGUAAAAACUCAAUUUGGACUGGGAAUCAAGCAGUUUAGGUAUGAUAUUGCAAAUGAUUAGUUCAAUCAAGUCUUAUCUUUUUAUUUUUUAAAAGAAGGUAUUAUCCAUGAAUCCUUUUUGCAUUAGCACUCCCAAAAAAAAUGGGAUUGUUGAAAGAAAACACGGUCAUCUUCUUGCUAUUACAAAAGUUUUUUUUUUGUUCAAAAAAAUGUUCUUAAAUCAUAUCGGGCUACUCAUCUUAUAAAUUGGUUGCCAUCUAGAGUUUUGGGGUUCAAAAGUUCAAUAGAACUUUUUUUCAUAACACUUCCCAAACUUUACAACGUCUAUCGGUCUUGUUCCAAAGGUUUCUGGUUGUGUUUCUUUUGUUCGUGUCCAUGUUCAUAACAAAGGGAAACUAGAUCUAAGAGCAAUUAAGUGCAUUUAUGUAGGGUAUUCAUCUACUCGAAAAGGUUACAAAUGUUAUCAUCCACCCACUCAACAAUUUUAUGUCUCUUCUAAUAUAUCCUUUGUUAAACAUGAAAGCUACUUCAAUCAUCCUUAUCUUCAGAGAAAGACAUCAUUCAUGGAAGAUACGGAUAUAGGAAAUUUGUUCUUACUUGACUUACCUUCAUCUGUGUCUAAACCCUCAUAAUCACAAUCAUUUGUGUUUGAGCCUAUGUUUGAGCACUCACAAAUUCCUGAACCUACAAGUCCUAAACUUAGAAGUCCACCUCUAGGGAAACAAGUUCUUAGUUCUACAAGGUCAACUUUGGUUUACUCAAAAAAAAAAAAGAACAACCAUCAUUGAACCUGUGUAAGUCCAAGAGUCAAAACAAACCACUUCCUAUGAGGUAAAUAAUCCAUUUUCUCCUAAGAUUUCUCCUAAUUCUGUUAAUAUUAGUGAUUUAAAUCUGCCUAUUGCAAUUAAAAAAUGCACAAGAACAUGUACUCAACACCCCUUUAUAUCCAUUUUUUCAUUUUGUAUCCUACGAAAGAUUGUCAUCAUCUCAUAGAAAAUUUCUCACUAGCUUAAACACCAUAGCCAUACCUAAGACCUUAUUCGAGGCACUAAAUGGUAAGGAAUGGAAACAAGUCAUGGGGGCCGAAAUGGAAGCACUUAAAAAGAAGGGAACUUAGGAUGUGGUUGAGCUACCAAGAGAGAAGAGUCCAACAGGGUGCAAGUGGGUGUUCGUAGUAAAGUACAAGACGAAUAGUUCUCUCAAGAGAUACAAAGCCAAGCUCGACCAAAGGCCAUACUCAAACAUAUGUAGUAAAUUACCAAAAGAUUUUUGCACUAGUAGCCACGAUGAAUACUAUGAGAGUUUUACUCUCUUUGGUUGCCUAAUUUAACUAGGAAUUAUAAUAGUUUGAUGUGAAAAAUGCAUUCUCACAUGGAAAGCUUAAAUAAGAAAUUUAUAUGGAUCUUCCACCUAGUUUUAAUAUGCACUUGAAAGGGAAAAAGGUAUGUAAAUUGAGGAAAGCUUUGAAUGGGCUAAAACAAUCUCCACGGGCUUGGUUUGGAAGAUUUGCCAAAAUCAUAAUAACUGUUGACUACAAACAAAGCCAUGGUGACCACACUUUAUUUGUUAAACACUCAGCCUCAAGAGAAGUAACUGACCUAUUGGUUUAUAUUGAUGAUAUAAUAGCGAUUGGAAAUGAUCUCGAAGAAAGAGAAGCAUUGAAGCAAUGCUUAGCAAAAGAGUUUGAAAUAAAGGAGCUUGGAAGACGAAAGUAUUCCAUGGGAAUUGAAGUGGUUCACUCAAAAAAAUGAAUUUUUGUCUUCUUGACUUAUUACAAAAGACAAGACAAACAUGAUGUAAACUAGCUGACACACCUAUUGAUCUGAAUCACAAGCUUAGAGAAGUAAACGAGGAUGGAGUUAUAGACAAGGGUAUGUACCAGAGAUUGGUUACCAAGUUGAUCUACCUCUCACGUACACAACCGGACAUAGCCUAUGCAAUCAAUCUAGUAAGUCAAUUUAUGCAUAACCCAAAGGAAGUUCAUCUCCAAGCUGUAUACAAAAUCCUACACUACUUGAAAACAACUCCAGAGAAAGGAAUUUUGUUUAAGAAAAGCAAUGAGCUAUCAUUGGAGGCUUAUAUUGAUGUAGAUUACACAGGAUCAAUUGUUGAUUGAAGGUCUACUACAAGAUUGCAUUUUCCUUUGAGGGAACUUGAUAACUUGGAGGAGUAAGAAACAAAACGUUGUUGCAAGAUCUAGUGUAGAAGCGGAGUUUUGUGCAAUGGACCACGGAAUCUGUGAGUUACUUUGGCUCAAGAUUAUCUUAAAGGACUUGAAGAUGAAGUGGGAAACACCGAUAAGACUUUAUUGCGACAAUAAGUUGACCAUCAACAUUGCACAUAACUCGAUACAACAUGACACAACCAAGCAUGUGGAAGUGGACAAACAUUUUAUUAAGGAGAAGUUGGAUAGUGGCUUAAUCUACACACCAUAUGUGUCUACUGAAGGUCAAUUAGUUGAUGUUAAAGGAUUAACCAGUGUCUAGUUUCAAAAAAUCAUUAUCAAGUUAGGAUCGGAUAAUAUCUAUUCACCAACUUGAGGGGGAGUAUUGAAGAUUAUUACAAUUGUAUACACAACUAUAUAUCCUCCACAGCUGUAUAUUAUAGUUGUAAUACAUUUUGCAUGUGUAUGUUUGUGUACAUAAUCCCUGAUUGGUAGGGAUCUUUAAUAGGGUAGUUUCCAAUUCUUUCCUUAUUUUUUCUUUUCUGUUGUUGUAUAUAACUCUAGGGCUGUAUAUUUUUAAAAUGUGCAUGAGAAAUACAAUUUUUCUCCACAUUUAACAACACUAAAACCACUUAAACAACCUCAAAGCUUUUCCAAGAUAGAAAAAAAAAGACCAAAUCCUUCUUCCAUUUGCAAUUUCAUUUUCUUUGCUUGAGUUCCAACAAAGAGGCGUAGCUGCCUCAAACACAACAUGUUAAGGAUUCAUGAACAAGAAAUACAUGGAAAAGUUCACAGCUUCAACUAUAAAAUGGAAGAAUAAUGUAUUUAUAAUUGUACCUGAACAAUGAAUUUGCUAAACCGAGAAAGGGUCCAGCAAGUAAUACUUCGUAUCAAAGGAAAUUUAUCGUCUAAAAGGGGGAUGAGAAAAGCCACAAUCUGCAUGUAAGAAUUGAGUUGUCACAAUAACCUGACAUUAAUACAGUUACUUGAAAAUAUUAGAGCAACCAGAUACCUGAAGAACUAGAACAAGAUGAAUUAAACAAAGAAAUAAAGAAAAAAAGAGUGAAGUAAUCUGACAGAUGACCAGAAAUCUGCAAGAUCUACAGCAUCCACUAAUAAAGUGCAGUAAAGAGUCAAGUAUAUCAAGUGAUAAUGAGGAAGAACAAAAACACAUAUAUGAAGGUAAACAACAUCCAACAGGAACUUAGAAAAAGUAAUUAAGUGAUAAUGAAGAAGUAUAACAUGACAAGUCCAUAACAAACAAAAAUAAUCUGCUCACAUAUUAAGAAGAAUUGCAGAAGUGAGGAUAAAAAUUCCAAGAGCAUCAUGCUUGUACCAAUUUCUUUUGUAGUUCAUACAUCAUCACAGUCAAAUGCUGAACAAGGCAUAACAUUACCUCUGCCAAAUGAGGGAAAAGACCUCUAACGCAACCCUCAGCUAUGGCACCAAGGGCUAAAACUGCAGCUUCCCUUUCCUUCCAGGACCUAGCAUCUGAGGUGGAUAGCUUAGCCUGAUGUAAAAAAGGAAAAAUUGAGGAACACAAAAACAAAGCAAGAAGAUGUGAAGAAAUGAAUCAGCUAAUUGUUGAAUUCCUCCAAUAUAAAUACCCAUACUCGAAAGCUUAUUCUAACUUUGAGUAGGAUGACUAUAACAUGUUUUGCAACAGAUGCUCUGAGUAUUUCUAUACCAAGGAUGUCUAGUUAGAAGAUUCCUUAAAAACUGUGCAGCUGUUGCUUUGAGUACAAGUUCAUGAAAUGAUGUCCUGCUUCUAGAGUGGACAACUAGGUGUUGAAUUCAUCUUGACUUUCUGCUUUAUCCAAUUAAGAGCUUACUAAAACAAUAGAGAAGAACUUUACAAAGGCAACUUUAGUCCAAUUAUGAUUUAAUAAAAAAGAGAGAAAAAAAACUAUAUUCGGAGGAUGAAUAUCACCAAUAUAGAAGCGAAGGAAGGUUUGGCAAGCAAUCCCUUUGUGUUUGUUUUGGAUGGUGUGGAAGACCAAGAACAAUAUUGCUUUUUGUAAUGAGGUUUUUUCUAUUCAAAAGCUAAAAAGAGAGUUUGUUUGUUUUCUAUUGUCUAAGCUAAGUUGUUUGUCGAUGAGUGUUCACUAACUUUAGUUGGAUUUCUUGAUUGUUUGGGUACUGAUUGAGUUUGUUAAAGUUCUUUUUGUACUCUUGUGGUUGACCUUUGGUGGCAAAAGGAGGUUUGUUAUCUUGUAUACUUGGGGUCAUUUUCUGGAGGCUCUUUUCUUUAAUUUAAUUUUAUUUAUUUAUUUAUUAAAAAAAAUCACCAAUAUGGAAGUUUGAAGUAUUGGGAUUAAGCCCUAGAAAACAUGACAUGAUAUAACAGAUCGAGAUUCAUUUAUAAAUUUAUUUAUUCGUGUUUUUUGGUUUCCCUUUAUCACAUAUGCAUCAAUUGGUUAUCUGAGUAUAUAUGCCCACAUCACUUGCAUUAUACAUGACUUGGGCGUAUUAGGAAUUGUAUAGAAGAUCCAAGUCAUAGGUUCCUUGCAGAGUGAUGAGUAGUCUAUAGUCAGUUCAUGGAUUUAGGCAAUCCAUUUGAGCCUAUGGUGCACUACCUCCGAAUUGGAGGGAUGACUUGUCUUGUUCAUUGGAAUGGUUUUCCCAUGGUGAGAGCACUAGUAUAUGUGAUGCAUACUAGACAGGAUCUACGAUGAAUCAUAACAUAAGGCUAUCAAUUGUCAUGAUUCACCAAGCUACUGUACUACAUGGACUCUCAACCUUGAAAAUUGAGUUUAUGUCAAAAGUCAACAAGAGGUUUUGACCUAUGAGUAAGACUUUAAGGUGGUUACAUAUUCCUAUGAAUUGGGUCACUAUUGAUGGAAGCUGAUAACAACAAGUAUUUUCAAUAGGAGCACCAUGAUAUCUCAUGGGUUUGAGAUAAUGUAUCUCUUUAGGUGAUCCAAAAGACAUGUCAUCUAGAAGAAUAUAGUCAUAGUAUUUUCUUUAGUGGAAAUUUGACAUAUGCACUUUGGAGCUAAAAUAUGUCGAUUGAUCACAUAAUAAGUGAGAUAUAUAACUUAAGGAUUGAAGAGGUAAUUUCAAUAGGUGAGAGCACUACCUUAUUAGAUUAUAAACCUCAGUUCAUGGGGAGUCUACACAUAGUAGGUAAUAGGUCACAGACCCGAACUUCAUUUCGUUUUUAUUUAGAUAAGGUACUAGAGUGCAAUUGAUUCUUUAUAUUAGGAUGUUGAAUCAACUUUAGAAUUGGAUUGUAAGGGAGUCAAUACUCCUAUGGGUCCCAAUAAUCCUCACUCAAGCUCACCUUGGGGGCACAGUCUAUGAGAGUUGAAUUAACUCUAAGUUCACUUUUUUACAUAAGGGCAUUUUGGUAAUUACUCAAGGUUGCAUGGAGAUUAGUGAACAAAGUCUCUGGAUUAGGUUAAUUAAUUAAUUAGAUAACCUUGUGAGGUUAAUUAAUCAAUUAAGACCCACUUUAGGCUAAGAUUAAAUGACUCAGGCCCAUGUGGGCCAAAUUAAGUGAGCUCAAGUCACUUAAGCCCGUGUGAGCUCAAGUUACUUAAGCUUAAUAGGGAACCCUAUAAAUACCCCUUUAGGGGUUAGGGUUUCCAGUUAGUCGUCUUCCACCAUUCAGAGAGAAGAGAAAGAGUUAUAGUCUUCACCCUUCCAUACCUUCCUACUAAUUGAGUGUCAAGAUCAAGUUAAAGCCAUCAGGUGGAAGACCUUGGGGUAAUGAGGCAUUCUGCGGCUGCAAAUCCAUUCUUCAUCGAAAGGAAUCGAUUUGGGAAAGUCCAAAUCAGAGGUAAAACUUUCUAUUGCACAAAUCUAGUUCCUAUGAUUGUAAAAAUGUUAUUUUUGCUUCCGUUGCUUAAGAUCUAGAGACCUAGGGUAGAUUACAUUAUCCUAUAUGAUCCAGGACUUGGAAACGAAGCAAUCCGGGGUUCCCAGUAUGAAGGAUAGGCAAAAGACUGGAAAGUUUUGAGAACAUAACAAAUGCAUCAAGAUAAGUAGAGUCCACAGUUUCAGCUUCAGAAUCAUCUAAGUCAUAGGAAGAUUACCUGAACUAAAGGCAUCAAUGUUGGAAGAAUCUCAUCCCCAAACACAUCUGAAAGGAUAUCAAGACCUGCUGCACUGCAUUUUCUCAAGUUCCAAAUAUUGACAGCUUCAUCAUCCUGUAAAUGGAAUAAGUCCCCAAUACAGUUAACCAGAAAAAUUAAAUAUAUAAACCUCAGGUUUUUAAAAGGAGAAGAAAAAAAACACUACUAUUAGGUUGUAUUAUCAGAAAUCAAACCAUUCCCUGAUUGAGGAAGAUGAACAUAAUAAAGAUAAAAGAACCAUUAGAUAAAGGACCAGCAUCUGGAGAACACUAAGAAGAUUAGGCUGAAAACAUACAUCGUCCUUCAUAUCAUCUAGUCCAUGUGAUCGUGAUGAAUGGAAGCGAGGCUUCAGAUCCUGAAGAUUAAGGUUUCCAGAAAGAGAAAGGCAUCCCAACAAAAAGACUGAGAUGAACUCCAGAAUGAUAAAAUAAAGAAAUAAAAAAAAUAAAAAGACAGUAAAGAAUGAACCUGAUCUCUAUCCGGGAUAGACUCGUCCUCCUGCACAGGUGGGCAGGAAGAUUAAGCUAAACAAAUUACUAACAAUUAUUACUAUAGUUCAACAAGCAUGCAAUAGCCCUCACCUCUGCAUCAGCAAGUGACUCAUCAUCCUCAGCAUAAGCCAUAUUUGACAACAGAACCUAAAAAUGUAACAGUGAUAGAAAAUUGACUAGAAACAUUAUCUAUAAACAAAAUGAUAAAAGGAGGGGCUGAUCCCAAGUGUAUGAGUUAUACUGGAAUCAGAUGUGGUAAGAAUUCUCUUAAAAGUUCAGGAUCUAACUGCGCUUCACAGUAGGUUGACCUGCCAAUCACAGCAAACAUUAGAAAGUAAAAGCCGCCCUCUUGACCAACUAAAAAUAAAUCUGAACAUUGGAACUCUCAUUAUUUUCUGAGAGGCACUAAUUAUACAAGUGUCAGCUUCACAAGAGCUAUUGGGUCAUACUAAACAAAUGAAAAGCGGGUUUUGGAUCAGCAUCAUCAACUUUUUAGAUCAAAUUUUUGAAGGGCUAACAAGAACUAUAGAAGUAAUUCUUAAAAUCUCUUCUUUGAGAAAUCAUGCCAAUAACUAGUGUCAUCUGUGGAUCCAUUGCAUGUACUUAUCUGAAGAUAAACUGUGAAAAUUUUGAGAAAUUUAAGUAACACCACCACAUAUUCCUCAAGGGUUUGUGAUCACCAAACACUAAUGCCCCAUCAUGGGAAGACAGCAUAAAGUAAUGACACAACACAAGUUCAUUUAUGCCCCUAGCUAAGAUUGUCUUACUCAGAUAUGAAUCUAUAAGUAAACCUAGAAAUAAAGCUAUUCAAAAUAUCAGGAUAAGGGCAAAACUAAUCUUUUAUCUUUAGUGCUCAAGGCACUUUUGAUAGACAUCAAAUAUCUAAUGGAUCACAAGAAAUAACAGUGUCAAAAUUGUGAUGUUCUAAUCAUGUAAGCCACAUAGCAUGAAAGAAAAUAUGUGAAGAAAACACCUUUUACUCUUUCUUUUUUCACUGGGGGCAUCAUAAUAAAUUCCCAUGAUCAUCUAGACAACUGUAUCUCAAUAUCAAUGAAAAUCCAUUAACCAAUAAAGUUAGCCUUUGCAUCAAAUCUCAUACCUAUAUGCAACCAUAACACAACCAAUAAAAAUUUCCACCAAAAAAAUUCAUACAAAGAGUAAAGAUGUGUGGGGAUACCAAAAUUCACAAGACUCAAGAGCAACUUCAUCAUCAGCGUCCCGGUUGGCUUGCAACAUGUAUUCAAUUAUAUUCCUCAUAUGUGGCUGUCGUAUAAAGUCAAACAUCACACCAUUAAAGCAAAACAUCUUGUAAAACAUGAAAAUACAAAAAGACUUCAUAUGAGAUAAGCAAUACUUUAGAAAUCAGAUCGGUUUUUUAUAAACAAAUAAAAAUAAAUUUGAAUUUAAAGUACAAGUUACUAGACAAAAGAAGUAUUUGCCCCCUUGUACUAGAAAUUACUAGCCACAGAGAACAGGGUAAAUAAAAAUAAUUAUUGGAAUCAUAUGAAACAGAAGUAAGACUCACACCUCCAGGACAGCAGGCUGAACUUCAACCAGCUGGACAAAAGCAGCACAAACCUAUUCAAAGAUGUCUUAGUUUUAGUACAGAGAAAGCGUGAGAUCCAUAUUCAUUACAUAUAAGUUAUAACAUGUAGAUGAUCAACUCACCAAUUUUCGAAUCUCUGCAAUAGGGUCAUGAGCAAGAACAAACAAACCUUGGAGGCAUUGAUCCAUGGACAUGAAUAAAGCCUAAAAUAAAUUACAAAAUACAGUAGAUAUUCCCAUCUCCAAACCAAUAAAAUUAGGUCAGUUAGAAAGGUUAGUGUCAGUUUUCCUUACAGUGGGCAUCAGAAUAAUGAACUGAUUUAUUGAUCCCAGUGAAAGCUUCCGUAUAGAGACAUGAGGUGACUUGAAUAGCUGAUUAAAGAUGAUCAUAAUUAGAUAUGGAGAAUUUAACAAGAGCUUGCAAUCCUAUAAAAAUUGAAGUAUAGAACAUAGGAGAUGAGUAAACCUAGAUACAUAAAUAAAUAAAGAAAAACUUUUGUUACCUGGAACAAUCUGGGCAAGAAAGCAUCGAUGGGGCGUUCAGUUAAUCCAGGUAUUUCUGAAUCAAGCUCUUGUGGAAUGUCUUCACAAAUCUAAGGUCCCUCAUAUCAUAAAUAUGUCAUAUAUUUAUUUAUGGAUAAAACUGCAUAUUAUGAUGAAUCUGAUCCCAAAUUUGGCUAUUAAAAAGCUUCAAAAAGGUGAGUAAUAUCACUGCUGGGAACAUAUGUAAACAUAGAAUUACCAAGAAAACUAAUUCCCUUGAAAUAUAGUCUUAAGAAGACGAUCCACCUAUUUGAAGAUAUGGGUUUUGUUAAUCCAAACAAAAAGAUUGCUGGAGACAUGCAUACAAGGAUUCUACUCUAAAUACAAUUAAUAAUUCCAAUUCAAAAGCUUGUAGGAUUCAUUAUUCUCUUAAGAGAAAAUUGCAUGAACUUCAACCAGAAUUAUGAACUAGCAGAAGAAAAUUUGACUCAAGAAAUUCAAUGUUUUUUAUCUUUAAAAUACUCGCCAAUCUAGGAAAAGAAAUAAAAUUAAUCCACGAUUGCAGCUCUGAGAGUGAACAUCAAAUAGUUCUAGAAAAAUGUUUUAUGGUAUGUUCAUUUUCCAGUUUUAUUUUAUUUUAUUUUAUUUUUUACUUUUUUAUUUUUUUCCUUUUUGCCUUUGGAGGGAUUGGAGGGAAAUUUUGAUUAUUUGUUAUAUGAAGUACACUGCAUCCAUAUGUUGGUAAUUUGAAUUCAACAUAUGCAAUGCUUUCCACAGAAAAUUUUACUUACGUUUCUAACUGGAGCUAGUAAGCCUUAUACCCAAGUUUGAGGUUGGCUUUGUGGACGGAUGACAAUCCAUCAAGUUUUGUGACUAUUUCACAAUAGAGUCUCAAGUCUCAACAUGAUAUCAACCCUCUGUUAAUAGAUAUCAAAUUCCUUAAGCCAAAUUGGUUGAUGGAGAGGGACUCACUUGAUCCAUGACCAAGACUAUUUGACAAUUAAGAGAGUCUAUCCAAUUAGUAAUACAUCUAAAUCUCAUGAAAUCAAGGAAUAGCCUCCCAAAUUCCCUUCAGGGGAAAGGGUGCAAAAAUAAAAUGAUCAAAGGUCCAUUUUGAUGCAAGGAACUGCACUCAUCUCUUAGAUAUGUAUCUUAGCCAUAAUUUAGUUGAUCUUUCAAUUAUACUAAGAAAUAUUUGCAUGUCUUCAUAGGCAUCCACUUAAAAUAUUUUCAUAUUCUCCUAUUUAUUGAAACUAAAUUCACAAUGCUCAAAUGUAGCCAUAUGCAUCUAUUUUUGUAAUAAGAAAAAUAAAAUAAAAAUAAAAGUCAACAGGUCUAGGAAUUAGGACAUAGCAUUCUGCAUUAUUGAGGACUUCAUACACCAUCAUGCACAAAAUCCUAUGAUACCCAAAUCCUUCGAUCUCACCCCACGUAUGUGUCAACAUGACAUGACAUGGUGUGGGCAUGGGAUCUUUGCCAGAUACUCCUAUUUUACUUUGGAUAUGCCUACUUGAUUUUUCCAUUGAAAUCCUUUUAUUCUUUCAGCUUUCUUAAUAAAAAAUACAUUAGAGAAAAAAAAGAGUUAGCUGAAAAAUUCUUUCGACUUUUAUUAUGCUAUAUCCUACCCGUCCCCCUUUUUUGAAUCCUUUUUACCCAAGUCCCUACAUCCUAAAAUUUGAGUUGCGAAGUAUCAGACACUUGGGACAUAUACCUGCAUCCGACACUCAUACCUGAACCCAUGCAACAUACACAGAAUCAUGCUUCAUAAGUAUAUUUUUUUAAAGGUUUCGAAAUCCCCAAUGUGAACAAGUAAAUCAAACCAUACCUUUAAUAAAGCAGCCAGAGCACCUUCCAUAAGGUUGAGGUCAUUACUAUCCAAGCAAUGCACAAGGGCUUGCAACAAUUCCGGCCAACCAAAAAUUCUUCCUUGUUGGACAAUAACAGUAAUAAUUGUCCCAACUGUAGAUCUUAUGUGCUUAUCUGCCGCUCCUAAACAAGGCAACAAUUCUGAUUUUAUAUACUGUUGAUGUGCAGGAUCUAAAGUUCUGAAAGAACUUCUGAGAUUAUUUUUCAGCAGUAGACCAGCUGCCUGACGAAUUUCAACUGAUUUGCCCUGUUUAAAAAGGUAAAAUUCAAUAGAAAAAAAUUAACAUAGGAUUAUGAUGAUACAUACUGAAAAAUGGAGAGUUCUUAGAGUCUUCUUUUUAGAUAUAUAAAGCAUGAAAAGUACAAAUAAAUACUGUAGCAAUUUCUGUGGCUGUUUAGAUAACCAAUAAAAAUUAAAUGUCGUUGCCUUCUUUGCAUAACAAUUUAUAAUGAGAUUCAUUAUUACAAUCUAGAGAAUUAAAAGAAAAUGUGAGCCAUCAUUGCGAUGGAUCCAUUCUAAAUUUUCAACACAAUUGCUAUAGCUGCCAUGUCCUUAAAUUUUCAACACAAUUCCUAUAGCUGACAUGUCCUUUAACAGCCCCAUUAAAUCCCCUAUAUAAAACACGGAUUGAGAAAUUCAAAUUUUAUUCUGCAUGAGACAUACUUUAACUAUCCAUCAACCAAAAUAGGAAGAUGGUAAGUAAAUCACAAUGAAAAACACCAAUGACAUGUUAAUCACUGCAAUGAUCAGAAUAAGGAAAAAAGUGAAUCAAGAGACAUUAAUAAUUGUCUACACUGCCAGCACUCAAUUGAAGUGCUCUAGUAGACCUUCAAGAUUUGAAGAAAAAUUGCUCUGAAUUAAUUCCACCCCCGAAGCCCACUUAUAGAGAAAAAUGACAAUGUCGGUGAGAUAUGGUCCAACCCAAUUCAGAAUAAACAUGCAACUUCUUUCUCACAAAAAAAUAAAUAAAUAAAAUAAAAAUAAAAAUUAAAAAUUAAAAAAAAUCAGAAAAAUAAAAAUAUAGUGUCAAAGCGCAUGGCAGUGAUUCAAUUCUAAUCACUUCCUAACAUUUUCUUUUCUUUUCCUUUUCUUCCCUUCCCUUUUCCUUUUCUUUCCAUGAACCAAACGGAUCCAAUCUUUCACAUAAAAAAUGCAAAAACAAAAACCAAAACACCGAUCUUUAUCGUCAAUGGCAAUUCCAAACCACCCAAUCCUACAAACACGAUCAAAAUUCCAUCAUUCAUUACCUCCGCAUGGGCAAAGAUGAAGGCGAGAUAGUUAUUGAAAUCAGAGAAUUGUUUAUAAUGUUGAAGCUGUUUCCAAAUCACAGACUUAUCCGAAGUAGGAGAAAUGUGUUGUUCCAGCAAACCGCAUAUCUCUCCGAGACCUUCCUCCUGUGGCCGCCAAGCCAUUUGCCGAUACAGCAAAAGGAUUGAGUUAGGGUUUUGGAAACUGAGAUUGAAUUCAGAUGUUCGAAUUGGGGAUAACGAAGAUAGUGAAGUGUUGGUGAGAAGAAGACGACGAUCAAUGCCUAGUUGUCAUGACUGUAGAAAGAAGUAUUUUGAGUUGGGUGUCCAAGUGUUGCUCGUUGAAACUAGAACGUUAUGACCAGACUGCCCCUGUUUUCAUUUGCUUUCCUUCUUCGGUUACGUUUCAGAAUCUUGAAAUAGAGUGCUUUUUUAAUUUUUUUCAAAAUUUGAACCGACCGGCUUUAUCUAACUACCACAUAUUUUACGGUUCUUGAUACGGUAAUAUUUUGAUUUGUCUUUUAGUAAUAUGACCGCCUGCCUCACACUACGCUUUUCUAUUUUUAGGUUUUUUCUUUUUUUAAAGUCCUCUAAAUUUUUGUACAAUUUUUUUUAAACAAAUUAAAAUAAAUAAAUUUAAAAUUUUUAAACAUUUGAUGAAGUAAUUUUUUUUCAAGUAAAUAAGAUAUUUAUUUACUUUUUGGUAUAUAAAUUCUUAUAUUUUAUAAUUUUAAAUAUUUAUUAUAUGCAAAUAUUUUCAAAUAUUAAAGAUUCAUAAAUUCUUUCAAUGAGAAAAAAUGAUUAAAAUUUAAUUUUGAUGAAAAAAUAAAAACUACUUGUUUAAAAAAAUUAAAAUAAAUUCUUAUAUUUUAUAUAAAUAAAUUUAUUUUUUAAAUAGAUAUUUAUUAUAUGCAAAUAUUUUCAAAUAUUAAAAGUUCAUAAGUCGAGAAAAAUAAUUUUGACAAAAAAAUCAAAAAUAAAAUUUUAAUUUUUUAGCAAAUUCAAAUAAAUUAUUUUAAAUUUGUUAAAGAUUAUGAAGUGCCAUUUUUCCAAGUAAAUAAGGUAUUAUUUACUUUUGAUAUAUAAAUUCUUAUAUUGUAUAUAACUGUUUUUAAUUUAAAAAAUAAAUUUAAAACAAUUAUUAUAUGCAAAAAAAAAAAUCAAAUAUUAAUAAUUCAUAAGCUCUUUCUGAUGAAAAUGAUUAAAAGAUAAUUUUGAGGGGAAAAAAAAAAAGUGGAUCUUCAGGAUAUUUUAAGAUGAAAUCAUACUAAAAUACUUUGACUCAUAUAUCAUGGCUAAAUGAAUGAGAAUUUGAGCAAGAUGACUAAUGUUAUAAUAGGAAUUGUGAUGGGAAAAAACCAAUCAUCUAUUUCAAAAAAUUUAAUUGAAAGUUGGUUUUAUAAGUAUUUAAUUAAUUUAUAAAUUAAUAUAUAAUUACAGGUAGUGUUUAAUUUUUUAGCUUAAUUUUAAAUGAAACUCAAAAUUAAUUUUUUUUAAUAUUUUAUUUCUAUUAAGUAUUAGUAAAUAAAGAAAAAGUGGUGGUAUUUUUUUUUUUUUUCAUAAUUCUAAAUAGAAGUUAAACUUAAAUAAUAUUUAAUAGUAUUAAGUAUUAAGUUGUUUAUUUUUAUGAUGUUUUAUUUAUAUUAAGAUAAAAUAUAAUAUGUUAAUUUUUCUAUUUAAAAAAAGUUAAAAAUUUAGAUGUUUUCUAUUAAAAAAAAUUGUAAUAAAUAAUGAAAAAAAAAACAAUUUAAAAGUUUGGAAACAAAUUGUUUUCAAAAAAAUGUUAAAAAAUAAACACCUUUAGCAUAUUGUUUUGACUUUUUUUUAUUGAAUAAGAAUUUUUAAGUAAUAAAUUAACAAAUAGUAAAAAAAAUGAUUUGAAAUUUGAAAAUAAGUUAUUUUCAAUAAAAAGUUAAAAAAUAAAUAACACUUUAAUUGUAGGUUUGCAAAUGUGCAAAGUUCAUCAUGGCUUUUAUGUGUAUGAUUUUUUAUAAACGAUUUUACAUUAUAUUAAUUAUUUUUAUAUAUUUUCUUGAUUUUGUUAGAUGACGAGGAUCUUAUUAUAUUCGCGCUUGUAUUUUAAGUUAAAACAAAAUUAUAAGUAAUUUAAUAUCAUAAUUAGAUGUUAUAGUUGAAUAAAACUAAAAGACAAAGUCAAUAAGAAAAUUAUAUUACAAUAAAACCUAUAUAUGUUUAAAGCAGUUUUUCUUUUUUUCUUUUUUCAUUUUAUUUUGAAUGACUGAGAUUUAAUAUCUUUCAUCCAAUGACUACAAAAAAUCUAAGGCAUGGUACCUCCCUCGGCACCAUAGAAUUUUCCUAUAAAAAAUUGCACCAAUACCACCUAUACCUCUUUAAAUGCGGGCUAGGACAUCAUUUUAAGUCAUGACUAAUAUACUUUAGUAUUUUAAAAUGAGUUUCAUUACCAUAUAUUUGGGGUCUCAGAUUGCAGAUUUUUUACCUGGUUUGCCAGCUCGGAUAUAAAAUUGGUGAAAACAUGCAGGUGAUGAUCUGGAUGUGAACAAAGGAUGGUCCGAAACCCUUUAAGUUCGACCCAAAAAAAGACAAAAAACGACUCGAAGUUCACUCACAGACUUAGUGGUUAGACUUGAGAGGUGGAUUUUAUUUUGUAUUUAUAUAUUUGUUCAUAUGACUUCAACUCAAAGCCCAAUUCCUAGAUGCAACCCAAAAGCUUAAAGCAAGCACAGUCUCCACCUAAUUCACAAAUUGCACCUUUUUAAAUUUUCAUAUGAUCAUUUUCACCAUCUUUCUUAUAUUUUCAAUUAUACAAUUUAAUGAUGGCGAUAAUGAUAAUAAUGCACGAAUGUACAUAAUUUGAAUUCAUUUUUUACAUUUCUAUCUAUUAUUUUCUAAAUAAACUUGUUCAAAUUUUCUUAUCAAUAAUAAAAAUAAAAAUGAAACGAGGAUUUACUAUUCUAUAUAUACUUUUUUUAAUUGAAUAUUCUUAAUUUGAAAUUUAAAAGCAUUGAAUUGAAGUUCUAGUUUAAUUUUAGCUAAUAUGUUAUCAUUUGUUCUAUAGCACUCAAAUUUAAUAAUUUUUUUUCUUUAUUCAACGUUUUUUAAUGUUAUUUUUAUAAUUCUAUUGUGAUAUAAGAUUAAUUAUACCAAAACAAACGCCAUUAUUCAUCAAUCGAGUAUUGGAAUUUCCUGCAUUAGGUUGAAAUUUCAUAAUCCGCGACUAGAAUAGGAUAUUCGGUGCAGCCAAGCAGGCCGAGAGAAAGGCUUCCUCCUUCACAUUCCAAGGCCGGUCGCCAAAACCAUGUGCCACACACAGGCACGCAGCCGCCGAAAUGCAAGCCAUGGCACAUUCAAAGUGACAGAAAGCCCCUUUAUUGCACAGUCAACCUACAGAAUGGAAGGGUAAUUUAGUCAUUUAAUAUUCUGCAAAAUUGAAAAUGAAAAACGGGGAUCCAAUGGGCGCUGCUCUUUAAAAGACCGGGCGCUUACAGGUAGUUAUUCAAAAUCUACAUAUUUAGAUACCGACGCUCUUGCUUGGAAGAUAGGGUCCUCUUGCAUUGGAAGUUAGGGUUUGGAGCUGCAACAAUGGCGAAAGGGAGGUAUUCUAGGGGACAUGGCAAGAGGUGGUCGACAUUAGCGCUCGUUCUUUCGCUGCUUCUUAUGCUAACAGUUGUUCUGCUCAUGCUUCUCGCUCUCGGAAUCGUCUCAUUGCCGAUCGGCACGGUAGAUUCCGAUGCGGCCAACGAUCUGAGCUCUUUCAGGCGCAAGACGUUCGAUGGGUAUUAAUUUAUUGUGAUUUAGAAACUAAUCUGUUUGAGACUUGCGGUGAUUUAUUAUUGUAGUUUUAUGUGGUCGCAGAGGUGAAGGAUUGGGGAAGAGAGGAGAGCAGUGGACGGAAAUUGUCUCCUGGGAGCCCAGAGCUUUCAUUUAUCACAAUUUCUUGGUGACUGCUUCUAUCCAUGUUUUAUUUUUCUUUCCGUUUGCUACAAUUUCUAUGCAUGAGGCUGGAAAAUCAAUCAUCUUGUAUUUGAUUUGUGGGCCAUGUAGCUGUGAUUGUGAUCUCGGUGUGUCCAAUUCAAGAUUCCUUGCAAUUAGGGUAGCUAGUUCAUGUUUUUGAUCACGCAAAUGGGGACUGCAUCUUACAUUUUAUGUGAAUAUUUUUUUCUUGCAGCAAUUGGAUGACGAUCUAGAAAGAUAUGUCAAUGGAUGCGAACUAUUUGAGUGAAUAUGCCAGAAAGAAUAACUUUACUGGUGAAAAUGUGUGAACUGAGAGAAUUUUGUUUGUUUUUCAAUCUCUUUUAGGAUUGUACAAAGAAUUGUUUGUUUUUCAAUCUCUUUUAGGUUUGUACAAAGAAUUGUGUUCUCCAUUGAACUGCUGUCCUCUGGUUGGCAGCGAAGUGUUAGGCACUGAACUUGAGGACAAUGUGGCCCAGAUGCAGAGAGGCGGGGGGGGGGGGGGGGGGGGGGGGGGGGGCCCCCAACCCUUUUUUUAAAUAAAAAAAAAAACCCCUUCUUUAAAGAAAAAAAAUUUUUUUUCCCCCCCCCCAAGGGGGAAAAAACUUUUUUUAAAAAUUCCCCCAAAAAAAAUUUUAAAAAUUUUUUUUCAAAAAACAAAAAAAAACCAAAAGGCCCCCCCUUUUUUCCAAAAAAAACAAAAAAAAAAACCCCCCCCUUUUAAAGCCCGGUUUAAAAAAAUUAAAAACCCCCAAAAAUUAUUUCCCCCCAAAAAAACCCUUACCCCACCAUAAUUUAUUUAUAAUUUUUGGAAAAAUUUUCACCCUCUUCCCCCCUUCCCAAAAAAAAAAACCCCCCAAAAAAAAAAAAANNNNNNNNNNNNNNNNNNNNNNNNNNNNNNNNNNNNNNNNNNNNNNNNNNNNNNNNNNNNNNNNNNNNNNNNNNNNNNNNNNNNNNNNNNNNNNNNNNNNUUUGUUCACAUCCAGAUCAUCACCUGCAUGUUUUCACCAAUUUUAUUUCCGAGCUGGCAAACCAGGUAAAAAAUCUGCAAUCUGAGACCCCAAAUAUAUGGUAAUGAAACUCAUUUUAAAAUACUAAAGUAUAUUAGUCAUGACUUAAAAUGAUGUCCUAGCCCGCAUUUAAAGAGGUAUAGGUGGUAUUGGUGCAAUUGGGGGGGGGGGGGGGGGGGGGGGUUCCGACAUCUUUUGGUUAGUUAGAUUAGGUAACUCUUUCUGUAGGGUAAGAUAGUUUUAUUUCCUUAUCCAUGAGUGGGAUAAACGUGUCUUGACAAUUUCGCGACAAAAGUAUUUCAAAAUUUGAUGUCAAUAAGUCAAUAAAAUCACAUGAUGCCUACGGUUCAUUCCAAUAAGUCAGUAAAGAGGUAGCUCUCUCUUUAUGGGUCUGGUUGAGAUAAUUGAUAUGCCUACAAUGUUAUGUUGCCUCUUAUGAUACCUUUAGCUAGCUAACAUUGAUUUAUAUUUGUUGAGAUAUUUAUCACGUUCAUUCCACUUACACGAAUUAUAUACAUCUCUAAGUGAUGAUAUAUUGACUUCCAUGUACUUUUUUGGACAGUCCAAGGAAGAAUGUGAGUACAUGAUAAGUCUUGCCAAACCUUAUAUGAAAAAGUCAACUGUUGUUGAUAGUGAAACUGGUCGGAGCAAAGAUAGCAGGUUUGCAUAUUCUCCAUUCUACCAUUUUUGCAGAUUCAUUCAAAUAUAGAAGAGGAUGGUCUUCUAUUUACAAUGCAUUACUUUAUUCUUACUCUUGGCAUUGUUAUUAACAGUUUUAUUACCCUAGUCAUAUUUAAAACACUUGACAUCUCUUAUUUGCAGGGUGCGUACCAGUUCUGGAAUGUUUUUGAGGAGAGGGCGAGAUAAAAUCAUCAGGGACAUAGAGAAAAGAAUAGCUGACUUCACUUUCAUUCCCGUAGGUACAAGAACCAAAGCAUAAUAUGAAAAACCUAGAAUUUCUUUACCAGGGACAUAGAAAGGAUUAGUAUACUUUACUUUCAUUCCCAUAGAGUGCAAGAAUCAAAGAGAUUACAUGAAACAAACACAUUGCAUCCACCAAGAACCUCAUAUUCACCAUCCAUCCUACCAAGUAUCAGAUAAACUUCAACCAUAGUUUUAAAAGGUGUGUUUAAAGCGCUCCUAGGUCCAAGGCACAACCUACCCUAGUUGUAGUGCCUCUCUUGUCAAUACAUACGCCUUGUUGAAGAUGUGCACCUUAUCUACUUUAUUUUUCUAAUUGUAUAUUGAAAUUUAUAUAAUUUCAGUACUUUUUUUUUUUGUUAAAAGCUUCUUUUAAAUGUUUGAAAUGUUAAAUUUUUUAUUGAUUGGAUUAUAUUUUAUAAAAUUAAUAUGCAUUUUAGGUCAUGUUUUACAUCACUCAGGCAUGUGCCUUGCACCUAAGCUAUAGGAGAUUGUUGCACCUUAGGUGCGCCUUAGGCCUUUUAAAGCUAAGCCUAGGACUUGAAUUUGGGACCUUUUCUUGAAUGGAGUGAUUUCCAAUUUGAGUUUUUGGGGUGGACCAUAUUCUAAACCUCUUCUAUUUCUCUCUGUUAAUUAUGUUUUUUAUAAUCAUGUGUUUGAAAGUUUUAAUGAAGAUAGAACAUAGAAAUUUUACAUUAGAAACAUUUAUGUGCUGAGGCAUCUACAAAUGUAGAUUUGUCUAAUUACAAUUAGUGCUUCAACCUUUUUUUGAUAGGCAAAGAUAGAAUAUAUUAAAAGUGCCUAAUAGAAGGGCGCAUAUAGAUAUACACAUUGUAUAUAAAGACGCCAAAAGUUCAAAUGAUGCUAAGGGAAAAUGCAAAAAACAACUCCUUCACCUCACUUUGAGUUCAGCUAAUCGAUGAAGUCCAACAUGGACAAAGAACCAUCACCUACGUAGAUUAUUAUCCACUCCAAAAAAUAUAUAUGAAGAAAUGCUUGUUUGUUUGGUCUUCUUUUUCAACAUUUUCAAAAGCUCUCCUAUUCCUUUCUUUCCCGAUGGUCUAGAAUAAACACAAUUAGUGCUUGCAGCUGUUAAUGAGUUUUUGAUUUUUCAUUCAUACAGUUAAAUGGGUUUCCAACUCAUGAUACUUUAUGUAUAAACUCUGCCUAAUUGUGGUAUCGCAUGGUCAUUUUGAAGCUUGUUGGGUAACUCUCUGGGAGAGAGUGAUUUUCUGAACAAAUAUGUAGUCAAUCAAGUUUCAAAAGCAAUUGUUUUCCUUCCAAACGAACAUGAUUUCCACUUGUGAAUUAUAAUAUUGCUAUUAGAGUGGCAUUUGUUUGUAGAUAUCUUAUUCAUUAAUUAGUGCAUGAGACAACCAAAUACAUUCUGCAUUGCAACUGUGGGUGGGGCCAGAUGUAAAAAAUUUAAGCUUAUUAUUCUUCAGAUUCAUCAUGAAUAUGUCCUGAAAUUGCUUGAUCUUUUUCGUAUUAUAUUGCCUUUUGAUCCUUUCUCUUUCACAAUUAAAAGGUUAUAAUUCCCUGCGACUUGUGUUUUGUGUGCUCCAUUUCUGUUUUUCAUUUUUUGUCCCCUUUAAGAACAGUAAAUCUUUUCAAUUAGAAGGCAUUGUAAGAGGGCUAGUUUCAUCCUUUUUUUUUUUUGGUAUGGUUGUCACAGUUCCAAAAUGUGUAUAUGCUGCUCUUUUUUAUUCUGUUUGCAUGAACAAUGCCUUGAUUUAGCAUUAAAGAGAGCUGCAGUAUCUAUAUAACUCUUGUAUUUUUUAAAUAAAAACUUAUAAUAUGGAUUCUCUAAUGGUAUAUUUGAACUGUUCGGUUAGGUGAAUUGUUUGGUGUUAUAAUUGUCACAAAAAU